rnacentral:rRNA from 1 species
UACGUAGGGUGCGAGCGUUGCCCGGAUUUAUUGGGCGUAAAGGGCGCGUAGGCGGUCACGCACGUCCGUUGUGAAAUCGCUCGGCUCAACUGGGCGGGGUCAGCGGAUACGGCGUGGCUGGAGCAAGCUAGGGGGCAAUGGAAUUCCCGGUGUAGUGGUGGAAUGCGUAGAUAUCGGGGAGGAACACCAGUGGCGAAGGCGGUUGCCUGGAGCUUUGCUGACGCUGAUGCGCGAAAGCGUGGGGAGCGAGUCCGG